rnacentral:rRNA from 1 species
UCUAAUACCGGAUACAACACUCUCGGGCAUCCGAUGAGUGUGGAAAGCUCCGGCGGUGAAGGAUGAGCCCGCGGCCUAUCAGCUUGUUGGUGAGGUAACGGCUCACCAAGGCGACGACGGG